GGGGGGAGGCCGGAUCUUGGGCUGUGUCCUCCAGUGCCCUGGGGUCUGAGGCCUGCACCGCGGAAUUGUGCUCCCGGGGCGCGCAGCCCCCU
rnacentral:pre_miRNA from 1 species